UUUGGCAGCUGUAUAACAUUACGGACUCAUUAUCUACUUUGCGUGAGCUAGAAUUAAAGUGCAUUAAGAAAUGAAGAAAAAUGUUAUCACAUAUCGAACUGGGACAGACAGCUUUAGAAAAGCCUCAGCUGUAAAGGAAGAAACCAUUUGCUUUUCUCCUGUACCGUUAGUAUCAUCAGACUGAUCGCUAAUUGUAAGGGUGAAGCUUUAAAGACAUCUAUUCAGCAACAGUUGAUGAGGAAUCCCAGGACCCAUCCAUUUACAAAACAGAGUCAGUAGAAGUGUGCCUGUCUAUGGGGAAAACAGGAAGUGAAACAUUUUCAUUGGAACCACUCAUCAAAAUUCCAGUGCAGCUGAAACUUAGAUUGUUCUAACAAGGAUUCUUCAUGAGCUCCAGCACCCAGGGUGGAUGAGUAGCGAGACAUUACUUGGGGCAAAUAUAAUACUGCAAUGUGUCUUAUAAUGGCUGUGCCUCUAGAUGUUAACUAGCAUGCAUUUGAACACACCUGUCCAGUAAGCAGUGUAACAUGACAUACCUGGGUGGGUUGAACCCAGCUCCUUUGUAUCUAAAUGCAUGAGCCUCUUGUGUCUGAGCUAAAAGACCCAGUUCUCUUAGCCAACACUGUAGCAGGCUCAUCAAUCUCUGUAUGUGGCCAGGCCAGUAGAGAGAGACAGAGUGCCUUGCUGAAUAAGUUUGCAAUACACAAAAAUGGGGCCAACCC